rnacentral:piRNA from 1 species
ACCCUCAGUGUGAAGAGACUAGCCUCUGC